UAUCCUUAAAAUAUCACGUAAAUUUGACGACACAUUUUUUUUUUGUUUGUUUUUAUAUAAAAAUUGUGUUUAAAAUGUCUUCCCGUACGGUGAGCUUGGCUCUCCAGGGAAAUGUCAGGUGUUUGUUUUGUGGCUUGGCACACCCCUUGAUCCACCGCUAUGUACCUCAGCCUGGAGAAACACAGGCACCGAAUAUCAUUCAUCAUUUAAUAAAUAUUUGUUGAGCAAAGCACAGGGUAAGGUGUCACGACAAGAGUGACACUAAUUCACACUUGAGUCUUCCCGGUAAACCUAUAGAGCCUAUGGACCAAAAGAGAAAAGACUUGCAAAUGUAUGUUAUACACAAAUGCAAAUAUGUAACUACAUGGUAAAAAGUGUUAAGGGCAGAUGGAAAUUUCUAGAUCAAAUGCUUUGGGCUCUCAGAGUCAGGACACAUUCCUUUUUUGCUGUGAAAUCAGGAGCGGCUACUUGCCAGUCAAUUUGUUUGGUCUCAGAUCCAACCCCUGUCCUGUGCUUUGCUCUGCAGCACAAGGAGCUGACUCCUGCAAACUCCAUUUCCCUGGCUGCCCUGCCGACUGGCUGCAGCUAGAGUCAGCAAGUGGGAGGCCACAGAGAAGGACCAGAGGGCUGGGGGAAGGGAGAAGCCAGGCUACUUCUCACCUCCCUCUGAGCCUCUUUUCUACCUGUACAAUGGAAAAACCAAUAGUAUGUUUUCACAGGGUUUUUUUUUUUUUUUUAUUUUUUAUGAGAAUUAAAUGAGAUAAGGCAUGCAAAAUGUUUAUCCCAGUACCUGGUGUGUAUAACAAGCCUUUGAAGAACAGAGCUGUUAUUGCUUUUAGCCUUGCUUAGGUAAGUGGGAAAGACUGCAGUGAUCAGUGACGCCUAAGAGUGAAGUAGGGGAAGUGGUGCCAUGUGAGAGGAGGGGUUACCAACCCUGAGAUUUAGGAGCCGUAUUGUGGAGAUAGACUUGAUAGGGGCUGGCAAACGGACGGAUAGACUCUUGUAAGGUGUUGGGAGAAACCUGAGAAUUUGGACCGUGAUACCAAAAGUAGGCAUAGACGACGCAUGAGAAAGACUAGGUCUGGGGGACAAGAUUACGGAUCCGUUUUUAGACCAGAGUGUUGAGCUCUUUCCACUUGGAGACAUGCGCGCGUGCGCGCGUACACACACACACACACACACACACACACCAAAACCCAAUGAUAAACUUGAGGAUACCUCAGGAAACGUGGCUUUUUGACAGAGAUAGACUUAACUUGCAGUGAGUUAGCGAAGAAAACCAUCUCAGCAGCUACACAUUCGGGCCUCAUGGAGAAUUGGAAAACGAUUCAGGAAACCAUAGCAACUCCAGCUACUGGAGUGCGGUCUCCUCUGAAGAAGAGAAACCACUGUUCUGUCUGGUCCUUAUCAGAUGCCUUUGACUCAGCACGGAAGUUGUGGCAGGCACGGCGGCCUCCCAGUGCCUCCCAGUGUGAAGAGCCACAUUUCUCAGAAGGUGCUGUGUAACUGGCUUCACGGCCAGUCUGGUGUGGACACGGGCUGUGAUCCCCAGUCUCCUUCCUCAAGCUGCCCCAGCCUCUGCCCAAUCCAAGAUGAAAGAAGUAACACACGUCGGUAGGUGAGCACCCAAUAUGUGCUGGAACGACCCGUGCUAAGACUUGGGAGAACAAAGCAAUAAAGCUAGCUGAUCCCACAGAGAAGUUGCUGGGCUCGGGUGCUAUGCCAAGUGCUCCAUGGGCAUCAGCUGAACCAGCACCCUACAAGGUGGCCGCCGUGGUUUUCAUCCAGUUGAAGAAUUAGUUUCUCAGCAAGGUUACUGUUAGGGGCUGAGGUGUGUGUCCCCAGAAUUCAUAUGCUGAGGCCCUAACCCCCAGCACCUCAGCCUUUGACUAUAUGUGUAGAUAGGGACUUUAGAGAGGUGAUUAUGUUGAAAUGAGGCUAUUAGGGUGGGCCCUGAUCCAAUCUGGCUGAUCCAAUCUGAACUGAUAAGAGGAAAUUUGGCUCAGGGAUGUGCACACAUGAGGAAAGGCCAUGUGAGGACACAGUAAGGAGGUGGCCACCUGCAAGCUAAGGAGAGAGGCCUCAGAGGAAACCAAACCUGCUGACCGCUUGAUCUUAGACUUUGAGCCUCCAAAACUGUGAGAAAAAUCAGUAUCUGUUGCUUAAGAUACCCAGUCUGUAAUAUUUUGCUAUGACAGCUCUAACAGACUAAUAUAGUUACAUAACUUCUAAAAGCUUAGGGGGUAUUCAGCCUUAAAAAGGAAGGAAAUUCCACCACAUGCUACAACACAGAUGUACCUUGAGGACAUUAUGCUCAGCGAAAUAAGCCAGUCGUAAAAGGACAAAUACUCUGUUUCCACUCAGAUGUGGUCCCUAGAGUAAUCAAAUUCAUAGAGACAGAAAGGAAAAAAAAAGGUAGUUGUCAGGGGCUGGGGGAGGGAAGAAUGAGGAGUUAUUGUUUAAUGGGUAUAGAGUUUCAGUUUUGCAAGAUGAAAAAAGUUCUGGAGAUUGGCAGUGGUGAUGGCCGCCAGCAAUGUGAAUGUACUCAAUGCCAUUGAAUUAUACACUGAAAACUGGUUAAAAUGGUAAAUUUUAUGACACGUAUAUUUUACUCAAAAACUUAAUUUAAAAAAAGCUUGGGGGGGGGGGCUUCCACCCUGCCUAAAGUUCAGUCUCCCUGAGAUGUUGGCUAAUUGCUGUUGGAGGGAUGAAGGAAGGGAGUUGGAGGAAGAGGGGGGUGGGGUAGGGGAGACAGGACUCUGGGAUGCAGAAGGCUGGCUUACUUUGGCUGCCCUCUCAGAAAUGUGCCGGCGUGCCCAGAUGAAAACUGUCCUGGCCCCACCUGCUCUCAAAUGCCAGAAUCAUAACGCAUGCCCAGCACCUUUGCCUUUGUCAAUAAUGAUGAUAGAGGAGAACAUGAUUUCCAAAUGUGAGGCUGAAUUCCCUGAGGUUUUUUGUUUUUUUUUCUUUUUACCUCUUUUUGUUUCCCAACGUCUCCUGGGCCUGCUCUUGGUCACACACAGAAAGAGAACACAUGCUCAGUAGUGGUCAAAGCAUUUUUCACAUUCUUCCACAGCAACAACAAAUCAGAACAGCCUUUCCUUAUAGUGUGGGUUUCCCACCAAACCUAAGACCUGAGGAGUUGGGGCCCCUGGUAUCUGCCCACUGGUUUGGAUUGGCUGGAUCAAUAUGGCCCUAACUAGGGAACCCAUUGGCACUGCACCCAUGGACUCUGAGAAAGGCAUAUGAUCUAGGUUCUCUCUCUCUCUCUCUCUCUCUCUCUCUCUCUCUCUCUCUCUCCUCUGCCUUGACCCCGCAGUGUGGACCCUCAAGGUUUGCUGUGUACUUAGUGCAGGACCUGUGAGUAAUAAACCUCUAUUCCAAUUUCUCUUGUGGCUUACCAUCUGACACCCUGUGCUACACUUAACAUAUGUUCAUUUAACAAAGUCACAGCACAUGGACAGACCCAAACUGAGGGACACCCUAUAAGUGACCUUGACAUCUUCAGAAAAUUUCAGGGGUCAUGAAGGA